ACAAUAUUCGGACCGUCGGUCUACCGAGCAAUAUCACCCGCUCGGUGGAAAAUACUUAACAAAUAUU
rnacentral:pre_miRNA from 1 species